UAGGGAAUCUUCCACAAUGGACGCAAGUCUGAUGGAGCAACGCCGCGUGAGUGAAGAAGGUUUUCGGACCGUAAAGCUCUGUUGUUGGUGAAGAAGGAUAGAGGUAGUAACUGGCCUUUAUUUGACGGUAAUCAACCAGAAAGCCACGGCUAACUACGUGCCAGCAGCCGCGGUAAUCGUAGGUGGCAAGCGUUGUCCGGAUUUAUUGGGCGUAAAGCGAGCGCAGGCGGAAGAAUAAGUCUGAUGUGAAAGCCCUCGGCUUAACCGAGGAAUUGCAUCGGAAACUGUUUUCUUGAGUGCAGAAGAGGAGAGUAGAACUCCAUGUGUAGCGGUGGAAUGCGUAGAUAUAUGGAAGAAUACCAGUGGCGAAGGCGGCUCUCUGGUCUGCAACUGACGCUGAGGCUCGAAAGCAUGGGUAGCGAACAGGAUUAGAUACCCUGGUAGUCCAUGCCGUAAACGAUGAGUGCUAAGUGUUGGGAGGCUUCCGCCUCUCAGUGCUGCAGCUAACGCAUUAAGCACUCCGCCUGGGGGAGUACGACCGCAAGGUUGAA
rnacentral:rRNA from 1 species